UACGAAGGGGGCUAGCGUUGUUCGGAAUUACUGGGCGUAAAGCGCACGUAGGCGGACUAUUAAGUCAGGGGUGAAAUCCCGGGGCUCAACCCCGGAACUGCCUUUGAUACUGGUAGUCUCGAGUCCGGAAGAGGUGAGUGGAAUUCCGAGUGUAGAGGUGAAAUUCGUAGAUAUUCGGAGGAACACCAGAGGCGAAGGCGGCUAGCUGGAUAGGCACUGACACUGAACUACGAAAGCGUGGGGAGCAAACAGG
rnacentral:rRNA from 1 species